CACGUAGGGUGCGAGCGUUGUCCGGAAUUACUGGGCGUAAAGCGCACGCAGGCGGCUCCUUAAGUCAGAUGUGAAAUCCCCGGGCUUAACCUGGGACUGCGUUUGAAACUGGGGAGCUCGAGUGUGGAAGAGGGGGGUGGAAUUCCAGGUGUAGCAGUGAAAUGCGUAGAGAUCUGGAGGAACACCGAUGGCGAAGGCAGCCCCCUGGGCUAACACUGACGCUCAUCGCACGAA
rnacentral:rRNA from 1 species